GAUGAACGCUGGCGGCGUGCUUAACACAGGCAAGUCGAACGGAAAGGCCCUGCUUUUGUGGCGUGCUCGAUUGGCGAACGGGUGAGUAACACGCGAGUAACCUGUCCUUGACUUUGGGAUAACUCCAGGACACUGGGGCUAAUACCCGAUAGGAGCUCCUGCUGCAUGGUGGGGGUUGGAAAGUUUCGGCGGUUGGGGCUGGACUCGCGGCUUAUCCGCUUGUUGGUGGGGUAGUGGCUUUCCAAGGUUUUGACGGAUAGCCGGCCUGGGAGGGUGACCAGCCACAUUGGGACUGAGAUACGGCCCAGACGCCUACGGGAGGCAGCAGUGGGGAAUAUUGCACAAUGGGCGGAAGCCUGAUGCAGCAACGCCGCGUGCGGGAUGACGGCCUUCGGGUUGUAAACCGCUUUCGCCUGUGACGAAGCGUGAGUGACGGUAAUGGGUAAAGAAGCACCGGCUAACUACGUG
rnacentral:rRNA from 1 species